AGUAAUGUCUGGGAAACUGCCUGAUGGAGGGGGAUAACUACUGGAAACGGUAGCUAAUACCGCAUAACGUCGCAAGACCAAAGAGGGGGACCUUCGGGCCUCUUGCCAUCGGAUGUGCCCAGAUGGGAUUAGCUAGUAGGUGGGGGUAACGGCUCACCUAGGCGACGAUCCCUAGCUGGUCUGAGAGGAUGACCAGCCACACUGGAACUGAGACACGGUCCAGACUCCUACGGGAGGCAGCAUG
rnacentral:rRNA from 1 species